rnacentral:lncRNA from 1 species
CACAGGUCUUCCUACACACUCCCCCUAAUGGUGCCCCCAAAGCAUUACACUAAAUAUGCUUUACUGACAUCUAGUGGUGCGUCUAAAGCAUUAAGCUCAUUAUGCUUUUUUUAUGACAAAAAGUCAUUAAUUAAUAAAUACCAUUACAAACCACCCUUUGACUUAUGUCAUAAAACAAACAUUAUAAACCCGUACAUCUACCCUAUUUUAACAGUACCUGCCCUACAACAAAACCCACCUUUUUAAGAAUGAUACCCAUUUACCCGUAAAGUUAUGACACUUUAUUGCUUAU